rnacentral:rRNA from 1 species
UACGGAGGGUGCAAGCGUUAUCCGGAUUCACUGGGUUUAAAGGGUGCGUAGGUGGGUUGGUAAGUCAGUGGUGAAAUCUCCAGGCUUAGCUUGGAAACUGCCAUUGAUACUAUCAGUCUUGAAUACCGUGGAGAUGAGCGGAAUAUGUCAUGUAGCGGUGAAAUGCUUAGAUAUGACAUAGAACACCAAUUGCGAAGGCAGCUGGCUACACAAAUAUUGACACUGAGGCACGAAAGCGUGGGGAUCAAACAGG